rnacentral:rRNA from 1 species
UACAGAGGUCUCAAGCGUUGUUCGGAUUCAUUGGGCGUAAAGGGUGCGCAGGCGGCGGUUCGCGUGGCGAGAUGAAAUCUCCUGGCUUACCUGGGAGGAUGGUCGCCAGACGGGAUCGCUUGAGGGUCGGAGAGGGGCGUGGAAUUCCGGGUGGAGCGGUGAAAUGCGUAGAUAUCAGGAGGAACACCGGUGGCGAAGGCGGGUCUCUGGGCCGAUACUGACGCUGAGGAGCGAAAGCGUGGGGAGCGAACAGG